UUUGCCCCUUUUAAGCAGAGCAAGAUGGCUCUCUUCGAUUCAGGGAAGGUGGAGGAAUGCGCCGUGGCUUUGCUCCCCCGGACUUUCAAGCGAAGGCUAGCUUUGCAUCAGAUCCCACAAGGUAGUCUGAAAAGGGGCUGGAAGGAAACUGAGCUGGGCGCAAUGGAGGCAUCGCUCAGCCUCUAACUGCUUCUAAAUUGAGAUACGAAAAGAGAAAGCAACUUGCAAGGCCGCCGUAUCAUGAACCCGGACCAAGCUGAGACUGCCAACUGGAGGACGAGGAUGCAGAACAAUGAUAAUCGGUGAAUCCGAAAAGCAAGAUUCUGCAACCACUUAGCAGUGAGCAGCGGCGCGCACUUUGCAGCGCAAACAAGCAAACGCAUUUCUUUACUCAGAAGUAAGUCCUGUCGGAAUUCAGUGGGAUUUACUCCCAGGCAACGGUGUGUAGGCCUUGGUGACCAGUACGUAGUUCUGUUUCUCUCGCGGAUCAUGAAACAUCUUCCUUGUCUUGGCCACGGUUGUUGUUUUUUUUAAUGUUAAAAACAUAUUAGACUUGCGGAGUGAAAGUAUGCCUCUGAACACGUGCAGAGUUACUUUUCCUUGCUAUUUCUACUCCAGAGCGCUAUGCAUAGGUGUAGUCAAGAUUUUUGUUAGGGGCCGGACAGGACUUGUUUUUUUUGGGGGGGGGCAGAACCGACGUGAUUGGCCAGUUAAGUAUUCCUAUUGUUUUGUUUGAUGGGGGGAGCAGCUGCCCCCCCUGCUCCCCUUAGCUAUGCCCAUGCGGCGGUGUAACGUGAAUAACUCAGGCUAGAACACUUCCCUGUCCUGUAAUAGCUCAUGUUUCUCAAAGGUAUGGAGCGGGGCGGAGCCACAGUCCGGAGCGUUUUCCCGCUUAGGUCCAAUGUUGUCGCGUUAUUGGGCAGCAGCAGAGGAAGACGCACCAUUGCUGCUGCCGCUGCUGCUGCACGCCUAGCUCAGCCCGCUCCAUCAGUGCAGCAAGGUGAGGUGUUGAGUGGCCUUGUAAGUGGUGAAAACUAACUACCAGGUGAAACGAAUACACCAGAGUGUACUUCUGGUCCGUUUUCUUAAGUGGUGGGAGUUAACACUGCUACCUGGACUUGUGACAUUUUUAUUAAUUCACCCCCCCCCUCAGGUAAGUGUUUUAGGGUGGGAUGUUGGAGGAGACAGACUACUAGAAAAGAAUCACUUUAAAGCCCCUAUGCUGUUAGUAGUUUGCAAGUACCUGCCGCUAGUUUGUCAGCCCUCAGACAAUGUGGGCUCCUCUUAAAGGGAGGUUUUUACAGCAAUGGCUUACUACAAGCAAGGAUUUUAGGGGAAAGGGGUUGGGGUUUGCUCUGGUGCUCCUCCCUCCCUCCCUUAUCCCAAUCACAGGAGUACACAAUCUAAAAAUACUUGCUUUCAUUGAAGGAAUUUUCAAGUAAAGCAAACAGACUUCUCUGUGGGAACAUUACUAGGCUCUUUCUUUCUGGCUUAUGAUAUUGAGAGGGCACGGGUGGAGAUUUUCCAUAGUAUGAGAGUACCAAGCUUGUUAAGGUUGCAUUGGUUGCAGAAAAAGAUUGAACCAAGACCUUGCUCUUGUCCUGGUUGCAUAAAUUUUAUUAAAUGCUUUCUUACAUACAUGUGAUUAAAUGGCAAGUUACGGAGGUUUGAGAAAAUAAGGCAGUUAAAUGUACUGCAUUUAUUGGUUACAGCCUCCAAAAUCAAAACUGCGAAAGCAAGUCCUGUUCCUUUGACCUGUGUAGGAACUCUAUUGCUGGUUGCAUAUAUCUUUCCCCCUAAAACCUAAUGACUGCUUAAGGGAGUAGAUUUUGUAGUUAUGCAAAGCUCCCAUUACAGUGUCUGUACAAGGAGCCACAAACUAUUUGUUUUUUAGACAAGUCAUACCAUAGGCAUUAAUCCUUAAAUGUUAUCUUCUCUUUAUAGGUUGACUGAGAAGCUGUGAAAGUUGGAUCCAGAGCUUUGACACACUAGAAAUACCACGUUUUCAUGCAAAGCAAAAUGUGGACAACCCCCCCCCCCCCAAUUUAUUAAAAACAGGCAUGUCCAACAGGUAGAUCAUGACCUACAGGUAGAUCAUUGGACGUCUGUGGUAGAUCACUGGUAGCUCAGUGGCUCCCCCCAAAGAAGCUCAACAAGUUUGAACCCCAAAGAAAUGGGCUUUCCUCAUCCCUCAAAAAAGCUCAACAACUUUGACCUGAACCACCCAAAAGAGGGUAGAUCACCGCCAGUCUUUAACUCUUGUGAGUAGAUCACGGUCUCUUGGGAGUUGGUCACCCCUGAUUUAAAAUAUAGAUGCUCUGCCAAUGGAACUAUGUGCAAAACUUUGAGGGUGAAACUAGACCAUGUGAAUCCACUUGUGUUUCCCAUAAAUGCUUUUAAGCAGCAUGACUACUUAGAAAUAAUUUUAUUCUCCUGCCUUCUUUUUUAGCUACCUUGGAUAUGUGAUAAUGGUGGGCUAGAAAAAUUGAAGAUUUGUAUUUUCAUUUUUGUUCUGCUCAUGCCUAUGGCAAUUACACAGGUGUACAUGUUACCUUGUUUUGAGAACCAUUCCCAAAUUUCACAAUGAAAGUUAGUCCAACACCCUCUUACUGAAAAGCUAUUAUAAUCUUAUCUACUUUAAGGUUGAGGAUUGUUGGGAAGUUUGGGUGCAGUUAAGCAGAAGAGGGGUCCUGCAUGGGUUAAGACAGUUAGGUACCUCCAGAUUUCCAGACUAUCCCUAUACCUUUAACCUGUAACUCUUUUACUCUGCCAGGCAUCAUGAUAUUAGAAUGAUAUUGUGAGAUUACACUUCUCUCUGCCCUGAAGUUAAGAGGUCAUUCUGGAACUACCCUCCAAGAGAUCAAAGGAGUCAACAUGGCUUUGUUCUACUGUAGACUAGUUGGGUAGAAAAAUAUUCCUAGUUCUAGUCUAAGUAUGUAUUUCCUACAAUAAACUACUUGGUUACUUUUUUUACAAACAAGCAUCUCUGUGUGUGAUUGCAAGUUAAAAGUCUCUCUAACCAGGAUUCACUCUUUUGAACACUGCCUUUGCAUACUAAAAGGGUUUCAGUAGGUAAUUGGAACCAAAUACCAAGAUUUUGCUUGGUAACCGAAUGCAACUUCAUCAGUGAACAAUUUAAAAUGAAUCGCUGUGUAUACUUGCAUAAAAACCAGGUAGCUGCUGUAAUAGGAUGAUGGCACUAAGAGUUAAAAAGUCCAUCCUCAUGUGACUCAAAUGUUAAACAUAAGUUGCAGUCCCCUCUAACAGUAAGUAUCCUGAUUAUUUCAAUAAUUAUGGACUGUGUUGUAUCCAAGAGGGAGGGGAAGAUGCAGUACAAAUUUUAAGUAGUAGCACUGCAGUUUUUCAUAUUGGCCCAAAUCAGUUUCAAAAUCACACCACGGCAACGAUUUUGACUCAGCAAUACAUUGUUGCUCAUGUGAGGGAUAGCCAGGCAGCUGAUUUCAAGGCACCGCCAACAUUGCAUGAUCUCAGCCAGUGAUCUGAGUUCAGAGAAAACAGGGCAGCUGCCAUCACUGCUGAUCUAAGCUGAUCGGGAGGCAUGGCCAUUGCUGAGGCACCGUGGCACUACCUUCCCCUGGCACUGAGGAGGCGGAGGUGUUUUUCUCAGUCAACAGGAAAGCAGCAGCCAGUGGACAAACAUCUUUGCUACGGAGGGACGGACUGUGGCUUG